rnacentral:rRNA from 1 species
UCGUCUAUAUACGUAUAGCAUAUCAAUAAGCGGAGGAAAAGAAACUAACUAGGAUUCCCUCAGUAACGGCGAGUGAAGCGGGAAGAGCUCAAAUUUGAAAUCUUCAAGGUUCUACCUUGACGAAUUGUAGUUUAAAGAAGUGUUUUCUGUUGGAAUUUUGGUAAAAGUUCUUUGGAAAUAGGACAUCAAUAGAGGGUGAGAAUCUCGUAUUUGACCAGUUAUUUCCAGCUUUGUGAUACACUUUCAAAGAGUCGGAUCGUUCGGGAAUGCAGUCCAAAAUGGGUGGUAAAUUUCAUCUAAAGCUAAAUACUGGCGAGAGACCGAUAGCGAACAAGUACCGUGAGGGAAAGAUGAAAAGAACUUUGAAAAGAGAGUUAAACAGUACGUGAAAUUGUCAAAAGGGAAGCGUUUGACACCAGUGUUGUUUUCUCGAAAAUCAAUUAAAAAUGGUGGGAUUUUGUGUUGUAUUGACUUUAUCAGCUUUCUGCACUUUUUUCCUAUCUUUUUUAAUGCACUUUUCGUUUAACAAGUCAACAUCAAUUUCUUUUGUUGUAAAAGAGUCAUUGGAAGGUGGCUUUCUUUUCGGAGAAAGUGUUUAUAGCCUUUGACUUCUGCAAUCGGAGAGAUUGAGGUCUGCAGCGUAGAUCCUUCGGGGUUAGAUGCAUUUGUGCUAAGUUAUAGCCUUUCAUAGACAACUUGUUGACUAUGAUCAGUCAUGUAGCUUACUCGCUUAUGUUAUUUUACCUACGCUUAGGAUGUUGACGAUCAGCUGAGCGCG